GUACCAGUGUUGUCCCAAUUCUGCCCACCAAACUGGGAAUAUCUUGCAAUUAAGUGUUGUCCAUUUUAUCUGCCACAGGAGAUUUCAGUGAUCAUUUUGGUAGUGGUGUACAUUCCACCUCAGGCCAAUGUCAAACAGGCUCUAGAUGAUCUGAGCAAUGGGAUCAACAUGCAUGGAACAUCACACCCUAACACCUUCACUAUCAUUUUGGCAGGCCUGCUUGAAAAAGUAACAUAAUAAUUAACAUCAACAAAUCACUUGUAGUACCAGAGGAAACAACACACUGGACCACCAUCAAGAAUGCCUACCAUGAAAUUCCACGCCCACACUUCAGAAAGUCUGAUCACCUGGCUGUACUCCUACUCCCUGAGUAUAGGCAGAGACUGAGAACUGCGGCACCAGUAUUGAGGACCAAGAAGGUAUGGACAAGGGAAGCACAGGAACACUUAAAGGACUGUUUUGAAAUGGUGGACUGGACUGUAUUCAGCGAUUCAUCUUCGAAUCUGGGCAAGAAGAUAAUGUGCAUAUAGACAAGAAUGGGCAACAAAGAGAAUAAGAAGAGUGAUGGGAUUGUUUUUCCAGAAGUUAGCAGCAAGCUUAAGGGCUGAAUAGCAUCCUGCAUUGUAAGAGAGGAGCUUCAUCUACAUUCAACAUUUAUCAGGCCUGUG